GACGAACGCUGGCGGCGUGCUUAACACAUGCAAGUCGAACGGAAAGGCCCCUUUGGGGGUACUCGAGUGGCGAACGGGUGAGUAACACGUGAGUAACCUUCCCUUGACUUCGGGAUAACUUCAGGAAACUGGGGCUAAUACCGGAUAGGAAUCCUUGCUGCAUGGUGGGGGUUGGAAAGCUUCGGCGGUUUUGGAUGGACUCGCGGCUUAUCAGCUUGUUGGUGGGGUAGUGGCUUACCAAGGCUUUGACGGGUAGCCGGCCUGAGAGGGCGACCGGCCACAUUGGGACUGAGAGACGGCCCAGACUCCUACGGGAGGCAGCAGUGGGGAAUAUUGCACAAUGGGCGGAAGCCUGAUGCAGCAACGCCGCGUGCGGGAGGACGGCCUUCGGGUUGGAAACCGCUUUCAGCAGGGGCGAAGCUUGUGGUGACGGUACCUGCAGAAGAAGCACCGGCUAACUACGUG
rnacentral:rRNA from 1 species